rnacentral:piRNA from 1 species
UUCUUUGCAGGGUUACCCUUUCACAGGGC